CUACGUAGGGUGCGAGCGUUGUCCGGAAUUACUGGGCGUAAAGAGCUCGUAGGUGGUUUGUCGCGUCGUCUGUGAAAUUCCGGGGCUUAACUCCGGGCGUGCAGGCGAUACAGGCAUAACUUGAGUACUGUAGGGGAGACUGGAAUUCCUGGUGUAGCGGUGAAAUGCGCAGAUAUCAGGAGGAACACCGGUGGCGAAGGCGGGUCUCUGGGCAGUAACUGACGCUGAGGAGCGAAAGCGUGGGUAGCGAACAGGAUUAGAUACCCUGGUGGUCCAUGCCGUAAACGGUGGGCGCUAGGUGUAGGGGUCUUCCACGACUUCUGUGCCGUAGCUAACGCAUUAAGCGCCCCGCCUGGGGAGUACGGCCGCAAGGCUAAAACUCAAAUGAAUCGACGGGG
rnacentral:rRNA from 1 species